rnacentral:rRNA from 1 species
GACGAACGCUGGCGGCGUGCCUAAUACAUGCAAGUAGAACGCUGAAACUUGGUGCUUGCACCGAGCGGAUGAGUUGCGAACGGGUGAGUAACGCGUAGGUAACCUGCCUGGUAGCGGGGGAUAACUAUUGGAAACGAUAGCUAAUACCGCAUAAGAGUAGAUGUUGCAUGACAUUUGCUUAAAAGGUGCAAUUGCACCACUACCAGAUGGACCUGCGUUGUAUUAGCUAGUUGGUGGGGUAACGGCUCACCAAGGCGACGAUACAUAGCCGACCUGAGAGGGUGAUCGGCCACACUGGGACUGAGACACGGCCCAGACUCCUACGGGAGGCAGCAGUAGGGAAUCUUCGGCAAUGGACGGAAGUCUGACCGAGCAACGCCGCGUGAGUGAAGAAGGUUUUCGGAUCGUAAAGCUCUGUUGUAAGAGAAGAACGAGUGUAAGAGUGGAAAGUUCACACUGUGACGGUAUCUUACCAGAAAGGGACGGCUAACUACGUG